rnacentral:rRNA from 1 species
GACGAACGCUGGCGGCGUGCCUAACACAUGCAAGUCGAGCGGAGAUAUUAGCAAUAGUAUCUUAGCGGCGGACGGGUGAGUAACGCGUGGGCAACCUGCCUUCUACAGGGGGAUAACACAGGGAAACUUGUGCUAAUACCGCAUAACAUACGGAAAGGACAUCCUUUUUGUAUCAAAGGAGCAAUCCGGUAGAAGAUGGGCCCGCGUCCGAUUAGCUAGUUGGAGGUGUAACGGACCACCAAGGCGACGAUCGGUAGCCGAACUGAGAGGUUGAUCGGCCACAUUGGGACUGAGACACGGCCCAGACUCCUACGGGAGGCAGCAGUGGGGAAUAUUGCGCAAUGGGGGAAACCCUGACGCAGCAACGCCGCGUGAAGGAUGAAGGUCUUCGGAUUGUAAACUUCUUUAGUCGGGGACGAAGAAAUGACGGUACCCGAAGAAUAAGCCACGGCUAACUACGUGCCAGCCGCCACCGUAAAAC